AGAUGACCCAACGUUGCCUAAGUUAGAACAUGCACCGCUGCUGCCCAGGCUCCAAUAAGGGCAGGGUUGGCGCGUGUGGGCUUCUCUAAAGGGAAACAUGGCCAGUAAUUUUAAAAUCCAUCCCCUCUUCAAUGAUAGCAAAUAUAAAAGCAACGGGCUGCAAGGUACACGUAUGUUUAAUGAAAAAUGGAGGGACGUGGUCACAUUAGAUGAAUCUGUACCUUGGGACCACCACACCGUUAAUAUAUAAGACUGGAUUACAAUUAAAGGAUGAGGAAGCUUUCUCAAAGGGUGCUUUGUAUGUGUUUACUAGUUGUGCAAACCAUGAACCUCGGUAAUGUGGUUAAUAGACCAUGAAAAGGAUGUGGUUUCUGCCCUCGGCUUAAAACAAAGACAGCAAUAAGACUAAAAGUACUUCAGGGCACAUGAGAGCAAAUUUCAAUCAAUACUUAUAGGAGAGGGAAGUUAAUUUUGCCUGAAGAGAAGAUCUGGCCUGCAUUAUGCAUUAAUUAGUAUUAGCUAAAAACUAUGUGGACCUAGCCCUUAUCAUUAAAAUAAAACACUCAAGGGUUUACAAACUAUUGAAAUUUAAGAAAAUGUCUUUGCAAUGAAUGCUACUAAGACUCACUGUUAUUAAGUACAUACAUAUCAAUUCCAUAAACUCAAUGGAAAACAUUUUACUGUGCUUGUAAAAAGAAGUGACUCAUAAACAGGAAUUCUGUCAUUUUAUCACUUUCAUGAUAGAAUGAUGUGUAGAAUUUGUUUUACAAUGCUCCAGAAAUAAAAUGUAGGGAAUGGAAAGAAGAUAGGUGAAAGAAAAGUGGUGCAACAUCAGUCAGUGUUGAAGCUAAGUUCAUUUUGCUACUUUACCUACUCAUGCAUAUGUUGGAAAAUUUACAAAAUGAAAAGCUAAAAGGAGAGAGAGCAUCUUCAGCAUGAAAGACAGCCAUUACCAAAGCAUUUCCUAUCUUUAACAAAAACUGAAGUCUUAGCCUUCAGACUAAGGAUGGUAGGAAGAAAGUAGCAAGGAAGUAUGGGACUGACCUUGCCGUAAGGAGUCACAGACCAGGCUGUCUCUCUUUUGGCCUGCUGCCAUCCGCGUAAGACAUGACUUACUCCUCCGUGCCUUCCACCAUGAUUGUGAGGCUUCCCCAGCCAUGAGGAACUAAUACCCAUCCCAUAGAUGUACUUGGGAUAGACAGCUUCUGGCACUCCUCCCAAGAUCUCUCCCUCCUGGUUACAAAAACCUGAGACUUCCAUUUUGCUGGAAACUUCUUUUCCUCUUGCACACUCACUCUGCGACUCUGUGUGGAGAGCUCCAUGUGACAAGGGAGGUCUGCAGCCUAAGCAACUGAGACCUCAGCCCAACAGCCCUCAAAGAACUGGAUCUUCAAACAACCACAUGAGUGACCUAGAAGCAAAUCUGUCACCAGUGCUCUUGAGACGGGCUGAAGUAUUUAAUCACCGGCACAAAAUGUCCCAGUGUUCUGUUCUCCUGCUGUGGAAAUUUUAGAGAAAAGAUCAUGAUCUAAGAGUCUACAAGACCAGAGCAGCCUGAAUUGCUGAGCUGCCUGGUGGAGAAUAGCAGCAUUGGGUGGUUCCCAGGAUUCUUAAAAGGACUUUACAAAGGCCUGGCCUAAUCACUUAAGAGCUCUUAAGGAGUGAAUGGGCUCUUCCUGAAAAAAGAGCUUCUGCUAACCCUGAAAAGCAAGCAACAACCCUGUGAACUGCUAUGGAGAGAGAUGGCCUCUAACAGCUGAGGACCUCAGUCCUACAACCACAAGAAACUGAUUUCUGCCAACAACAUGAAUGAACUUGGAAAAGGCCCCUGAGCUCCAGAUGAGAACACCCAGGUCAACUCAGGUCAUGAGCAGAGAACCCUGUUAUAUUCUCCUUGGCUUGUGAUCCAUAAACAAUGAGAUUAUAAAUGUGUGGUUUUUAAGCCAUUAGGUUUGUGGUAACUUGUUACACAAGCCUCUUUUAGAUUCUUUACAUACACAAAUAUAUUCUAAACGAAUAAUGAGUCUUCCUUUCCCAUCUUUAUACCAUUUACUUCUUAUUCUUCCCUUACCGCUUUAAGACCUCUAGUAUAAAGUUGACUAGAAAAGGUGGUAGUGGCAUUAUUGUGUAGUUCUUUAUAUCAAAGGGAAGAUUUUCAAUGUUUUCAUGUUAAGUAUGACAUUUACUGUAGGUUUUUCAUAGAUGCUCUUUAAUCAGUUUAAGCAAUUCUUGUCUAUCCCUAGAAUUAUUGUCAGGAAUAAAUGUUGACUUUUAUCGAACACUGUUUCUGCACCUUUUAAAAAUAUCAUAUUUUUUCCUUCAAAUGGUUACUGUGUUGAAUUAUAUUAGCAGACAUUCUAAUGUUAAAGUAACCUAUCAUUCCAGAGAAAAGGAGGUGAGAAUAGCAGUUUAGUUAUGAUGCUGUAUCCCUUUUAUAAAUUCUUGGAUGCAAUUUGCCAAUAUUUGGUCUAAGAUUUUUGCAUUAUGUUAAUGACUGGAAAUGAGUCUUAAUUUUCCUUUAUUUUUCUGGCUUCUUUGUGUUUCGAUAUCAAGAAUAUGCAAGUCUCAUGCAAUAAAUUCUAUGGAAGAGUUGGUUAA